UCGUCCGUUGAUCUUAGUCUGACGUGGCGCUUGGAUCUGAUGUCUCGCAAGGUGGAUAAGGUCGAUUGGAGAGUCAGAAAUUCGUCUCACGUGCCCGCAUCUCUCGCUUUCAGUUUAUUUACGCUUCUGAAGAGGAAACCUACAACACACAAAAAAAAUUUUGGAAUACAACUCAGUGAGCAGUUGCUAAGAUGUAAACAAUGAAGGGUCCCUCAGUUACUUUGGUUUGUAAGAUCUCUUGCCAUCAUCAGAAACUAAGCCUCUCUUAUUUGAAACAUCCUAUUAGAAUAAACCAAGAAGACGAAGAUUAGAGUAAACAAAGCUUAUACUUUUUUGGGGGGCACUGAUUCUAUAAAAAGACUUACAAUGUGCCGAAUGGAUUUGAAGUUUCCUUUGAUUAGUGAGUUACAGAGUUCCAACACUUCUUUCUGAAACAUCAAUGUAAGGAUCGAUCAAGUAACACUGAUGAAACAACUCAAAACGUGUUAUGAGUCUUUUACGUACCUCUUGCAGUUUAAGGCAGUUGCGCACUAUUAGAGUCUUGAGUGGACUCUCCUUGCACCUAUUUCUUACAUCCCUACCAACAAUAUUUUCUUGUUAUGUAAAAUUUUAACAAUAAGGACAUUUGGAGGAAAUUGCACUGUAAAAGUUUUGCAUUAGCACCUCAGAAAACGACCAUUGAUUGUAGGGGAUCUAGACAAAUUCAGGUACUCCAGUGUACGAGAACAUCAAAAUACUAUUGAAGUUCUGAAAAAGCUAAAGCCGGGGUUUGGGCCAAGCCAAUGAAAAAUUGGUUUUGGCCUCCAAAAUUGUUUGACUUUUUUACAUAGUUUUAGCUUUCUAUAUUAUUUUUAAAACAAUUUACAAAAAAAAUUCUUAACAAUGUUUAGAACCCAAAAAUAUUGAGAUCCACCCCUGCAAAAUCAUAGAUGGUAUCCAAUAAAAGAGAGAGAGAAAAUAGCAGUAAAAU